rnacentral:rRNA from 1 species
ACGUAGGAGGCAAACGUUAUUCGGAUUUACUGGGCGUAAAGCGGGUGUAGACGGCUUUUUAAGUCGGUUGUGAAAUCUCUUGACUUAAUUGAGAGAAGACAUCCGAUACUACCGAGCUUGAGGACAGCAGAAGAAAGCGGAACUCCCGGUGUAGCGGUGAAAUGCGUAGAUAUCGGGAGGAACACCAGUGGCGAAGGCGGCUUUCUAGGCUGUUCCUGACGUUGAGGCCCAAAAGCGUGGGGAGCGAAACGGAUUAGAUACCCGUGUAGUCCACGCCCUAAACAUUGGACACUAGGUAUAGGGAGUAUCGACCCUCUUUGUGCCGAAGCUAACGCUUUAAGUGUCCCGCCUGGGGACUACGGCCGCAAGGCUA